CAUAUUACAAAAGUAGAUGUACGAGUACAAUCAGAUGGACUUAAUGCUAAGAGCAUUCUCUACCAGUCAACCUGCAGGAGGUUCAGGAGCAGAAAGUAUUGAAGUACAAAAAAAAUAACAAAUUCAUAGUUACACACUCAAUAAGAAUUAUUAGGCUUGGAUUCCAUGCAACCAUUACAACAAAAAUAACUGAGUCUCA